rnacentral:rRNA from 1 species
AUACGUAGGUGACAAGCGUUAUCCGGAUUUACUGGGCGUAAAGGGCGUGUAGGCGGUCUUGCAAGUCAGAAGUGAAAUUCCUGAGCUCAACUCGGGCGCUGCUUCUGAAACUGCAGGACUUGAGUGCUGGAGGGGAUAGCGGAAUUCCUAGUGGAGCGGUAAAAUGCGCAGAUAUUAGGAAGAACACCGGUGGUGAAGGCGGCUAUCUGGACAGUAACUGACGCUGAGGCGCGAAAGCGUGGGGAGCAAACAGGAUUAGAUACCCUGGUAGUCCACGCGGUAAACGAUGAUCACUAGGUGUUGGCACGCAUAGCGUGUCGGUGCCGCAGCAAACGCAAUAAGUGAUCCACCUGGGGAGUACGUUCGCAAGAAUGAAACUCAAAGGAAUUGACGGGG